rnacentral:tRNA from 1 species
UGGAAUAUAGCUCAAUGGUAGAGCUUCAUUUACCAUGCACAGGGCCCUGGGUUCAAUCCCCAGUACUGCAC